rnacentral:rRNA from 1 species
GACGAACGCUGGCGGCGUGCUUAACACAUGCAAGUCGAACGGAAAGGCCCUGCUUUUGUGGGGUGCUCGAGUGGCGAACGGGUGAGUAACACGUGAGUAACCUGCCCUUGACUUUGGGAUAACUUCAGGAAACUGGGGCUAAUACCGGAUAGGAGCUCCUGCUGCAUGGUGGGGGUUGGAAAGUUUCGGCGGUUGGGGAUGGACUCGCGGCUUAUCAGCUUGUUGGUGGGGUAGUGGCUUACCAAGGCUUUGACGGGUAGCCGGCCUGAGAGGGUGACCGGCCACAUUGGGAAGGAGAGACGGCCCAGACUCCUACGGGAGGCAGCAGUGGGGAAUAUUGCACAAUGGGCGGAAGCCUGAUGCAGCAACGCCGCGUGCGGGAUGACGGCCUUCGGGUUGUAAACCGCUUGCGCCUGUGACGAAGCGUGAGUGACGGUAAUGGGUAAAGAAGCACCGGCUAACUACGUG